UAUAAUAGGGUAUGUAAGUCUCGUCAUGUGACUUGCGAGAUUUCACGAUAUUUUGCACUUCCGGGUACAAACAAAUAUCAACAACAUUGCUUAUCUAUAUUGGGUAAUACUUGUAUGCCGGUGGGAAAGUAAAACUUACAUGGAAAAGCAAAUGAUAUGUGGAAAUUGGUUUUUUGUUUUGUAACGAAAUGCAAAUGGUUUCAUCUUGUGAACAAGUAUCAAUGAAAGACAACUUCGUAUAAUCUUCAGAUAUUUUGACUGAGGACAGUGGUGAGACGAAAGACGUCAGUAUCCAUUGUAAAUACACAUGCAUGCUCUACUGUAAAAUCGUUUUGGUAUGUGAUUUCAUGGUUGGAUCUUGAGUACUUGUCAUGGCUCUUGAUUUAUUUUGGAGUGUUCACCAUCAGAUUAGAAAUCAAAUAGUGAUACCACCAGGCAUAGUUGAAAGGAAAUGUCCAUACACAGUCUUGGAGU